rnacentral:rRNA from 1 species
AGAAGCGAGCCUGCGAAGGCAAGCGGAUCUCUUAAAGCUGUUCUCAGUUCGGACUGUAGGCUGCAACUCGCCUACACGAAGCUGGAAUCGCUAGUAAUCGCGGAUCAGCACGCCGCGGUGAAUACGUUCCCGGGCCUUGUACACACCGCCCGUCACACCAUGAGAGUCUGUAACACCCAAAGCCGGUGGGAUAACCUUUAUAGGAGUCAGCCGUCUAAGGUAGGACAGAUGAUUAGGGUGAAGUCGUAACAAGGUACC